rnacentral:sRNA from 1 species
GCCAGGCAUGGUGGCGCAUGCCUGUAAUCCCAGUGGCUCCGGAGGCUGAGGCAGGAGGAUCACGAGUUCAAAGCCAGCCUCAGCAAAAGUGAGGUGCUAAGCAACUCAGUGAGACUCUGUCUCUA